AAGCCAAGGAGAGGCCAACAUUCAGGGAGCCAUUUUUCUGCCAUGGAAUUAAAUGGCCAAGUGGGUUUUCCUUUGUUCCAAAAGGGGGAACGCUUUUCCUCUGACUCCACCAUCCAGUGCAGGAUUGCCCCGUGUCUUGUCCAAUGUUGGUCACCAAUGCUAAAGGACCGAUGGAAGAAGGAAGACUUCAUUUUUUUUUAAAUGAUUUUGGAUUUUGCUUUUUUCUACUUAUGACCUGGAAUCCAUCUUUGUCUUGUAUAACUAGGUCAUAGCCCACCAUUAAUGUCAGCAGUUUAAAAAUUUUGAAUCCAAAAAACCUUAACCAGCCCCACCGGCGAAGCCAGCCAGCCUUUGGUCGAACCCUGGGAAAAGUUUGCCGAAUUCGAAGGCGAUGAAAUGACAUGACACUGUAAUUGACAAAAAGGUUCACCUUCCAGACUCCAUUGCGCCAAGCUGAGCACCGGUAAGUAAAAACGUGCCUUUUAAAAGCCCUUGGAAGCACACCGGCUAGAGCAGGCCCCGCGCUGCACAUUUCACAGAGCCGAGGGACUGAGCCUGCCUGGGUUUCCAAGCUUGUUGUCGGUUGUAGUUGGCGAGCAGGGCAGGCAACAUGGACAGUGGA